UUCAAGCGAUGGGGUGACGCAGGAAGGUAGCUGGGCCAGUCAGUGGUUGUACUGGUGUAAGAGUGUAGGCCGUGACAUAGGCAAAUCCGUGUCACAUUAAGGCUGAGACUUGAUGCAUACCCGUUGUGGGGAAUUCAGUGAUCCUAUGCUGCCGAGAGAAGCCUCUAGUGAGUUCAUACACGGCCCGUACCCCAAACCGACACAGGUGAUCAGGUAGAGAAUACCAAGGCGAUCGAGAGAACUGUGGUUAAGGAACUCGGCAAAAUGCCCCCGUAACUUCGGGAGAAGGGGGACCAUGCCCGGUGAACAUCUUCACGGUGGGAGCUGGGUGUGGUCGCAGAGACCAGAGAGAAGCGACUGUUUACUAAAAACACAGGUCCGUGCGAAGACGUAAGUCGAUGUAUACGGACUGACGCCUGCCCGGUGCUGGAAGGUUAAGAAGACCGGUUAGCCGUAAGGCGAAGCUGAGAAUUUAAGCCCCAGUAAACGGCGGUGGUAACUAUAACCAUCCUAAGGUAGCGAAAUUCCUUGUCGGGUAAGUUCCGACCUGCACGAAUGGCGUAACGACUUCUCUGCUGUCUCGACCACAGACUCGGCGAAAUUGCACUACGAGUAAAGAUGCUCGUUACGCGCGGCAGGACGAAAAGACCCCGGGACCUUUACUAUAGCUUGGUAUUGGCGUUCGAUUCGGUUUGUGUAGGAUAGGUGGGAGACUGUGAAGCAUGCACGCCAGUGUGUGUGGAGUCGUUGUUGAAAUACCACUCUGAUCGUAUUGGACGUCUAACCUCGGCCCAUGAUCUGGGUUAGGGACAGUGCCUGGUGGGUAGUUUAACUGGGGCGGUUGCCUCCUAAAGAGUAACGGAGGCGCCCAAAGGUUCCCUCAGCCUGGAUGGCAAUCAGGUGUUGAGUGCAAGUGCACAAGGGAGCUUGACUGUGAGACUGACACGUCGAGCAGGGACGAAAGUCGGGACUAGUGAUCCGGCACCGGCAAGUGGAAGCGGUGUCGCUCAACGGAUAAAAGGUACCCCGGGGAUAACAGGCUGAUCUUCCCCAAGAGUCCAUAUCGACGGGAUGGUUUGGCACCUCGAUGUCGGCUCGUCGCAUCCUGGGGCUGGAGUAGGUCCCAAGGGUUGGGCUGUUCGCCCAUUAAAGCGGCACGCGAGCUGGGUUUAGAACGUCGUGAGACAGUUCGGUCUCUAUCCGCCGCGCGCGUAAGAAACUUGAGGAAGGCUGUCCCUAGUACGAGAGGACCGGGACGGACGAACCUCUGGUGUGCCAGUUGUUCCACCAGGAGCAUGGCUGGUUAGCUACGUUCGGAAGGGAUAACCGCUGAAAGCAUCUAAGCGGGAAGCCUGUUCCAAGAUGAGGUUUCUCACCACCUUGCGUGGUUAAGGCCCCCUACAGACCAUGGGGUUGAUAGGCCGGAACUGGAAGCGCAGCAAUGCGUGGAGGUGACCGGUACUAAUAGGCCGAGGGCUUAC
rnacentral:rRNA from 1 species